rnacentral:rRNA from 1 species
UUUAUUUAAACGGCCGCGGUAUUUUGACCGUGCAAAGGUAGCAUAAUCAGUUGUCUUAUAAUUGAAGACUGGAAUGAAUGGUUAAACGAAAUUAGAGCUGUUUCAUUUGUAUUUAUUAGAAAUUGGCUUUUAAAUGAAGAGAUUUAAAUUUGAUUAAGGGACAAGAAGACCCUAUUGAGCUUUAAAUAAUUUUAAGGGUUAAAGUUAUUAUAAAGAUCUAUGAUCUUUAGUAUUUUUUUAGUUGGGGCGACUAAGGAACAGGCGAAGCUUCCUUUAUUUAUUUAAUUGAUAGAUUUUGAUCCUGUAUUACUGAUUAAGAGACAUAGUUACCAUAGGGAUAACAGCAUAAUCUUCUUGGAGAGUUCUUAUUAAAAAGGGGGGUUGUGACCUCGAUGUUGGACUAAAAUAUCCUAAGGGUGUAGAAGCUUUUAAGGGUUGGUCUGUUCGACCAUUAAAAUUUUACGUGAUCUGA